rnacentral:ncRNA from 1 species
GCAGAGUAGACUGUAUUGCGUUAAGUGUCUGAUGAACAGGGAGUUGUCAUCAGGACGAAGGUUUUUACCGCGGUUUUAUGGUCGCAUCCCGCUGC